UACGGAGGAUGCAAGCGUUAUCCGGAAUGAUUGGGCGUAAAGCGUCCGCAGGUGGCUGUGUAAGUCUGCUGUCAAAGAGCAAAGCUCAACUUUGUAAAGGCAGUGGAAACUACACGGCUAGAGUGCGUUCGGGGCAGAGGGAAUUCCUGGUUUAGCGGUGAAAUGCGUAGAGAUCAGGAAGAACACCGGUGGCGAAGGCGCUCUGCUAGGCCGCAACUGACACUGAGGGACGAAAGCUAGGGGAGCGAAUGGG
rnacentral:rRNA from 1 species